rnacentral:rRNA from 1 species
GACUGAGAGGUUGAACGGCCACAUUGGGACUGAGAUACGGCCCAGACUCCUACGGGAGGCAGCAGUGGGGAAUAUUGCACAAUGGGGGAAACCCUGAUGCAGCAACGCCGCGUGAAGGAAGACGGUUUUCGGAUUGUAAACUUCUUUUCUUAGUGACGAAGACAGUGACGGUAGCUAAGGAAUAAGCAUCGGCUAACUACGUGCCAGCAGCCGCGGUAAUACGUAGGAUGCAAGCGUUAUCCGGAUUUACUGGGUGUAAAGGGAGCGCAGGCGGGACUGCAAGUUGGAUGUGAAAUACCGUGGCUUAACCACGGAACUGCAUCCAAAACUGUAGUUCUUGAGUGAAGUAGAGGCAAGCGGAAUUCCGAGUGUAGCGGUGAAAUGCGUAGAUAUUCGGAGGAACACCAGUGGCGAAGGCGGCUUGCUGGGCUUUAACUGACGCUGAGGCUCGAAAGUGUGGGGAGCAAACAGGAUUAGAUACCCUGGUAGUCCACACUGUAAACGAUGAUAGCUAGGUGUGGGGGGUCUGACCCCUUCCGUGCCGGAGUUAACGCAAUAAGCUAUCCACCUGGGGAGUACGACCGCAAGGUUGAAACUCAAAGGAAUUGACGGGGGCCCGCACAAGCAGUGGAUUAUGUGGUUUAAUUCGAAGCAACGCGAAGAACCUUACCAGGUCUUGACAUCCGACUAACGAGAUAGAGAUAUGUCAGGUGCCCUUCGGGGAAAGUCGAGACAGGUGGUGCAUGGUUGUCGUCAGCUCGUGUCGUGAGAUGUUGGGUUAAGUCCCGCAACGAGCGCAACCCCUGCCAUUAGUUGCUACGCAAGAGCACUCUAAUGGGACCGCUACCGACAAGGUGGAGGAAGGUGGGGACGACGUCAAAUCAUCAUGCCCCUUAUGACCUGGGCUACACACGUAAUACAAUGGCCGUUAACAGAGGGAAGCAAAGCGGUGACGCAGAGCAAAACCCUAAAAACGGUCCCAGUUCGGACUGUAGGCUGCAACCCGCCUACACGAAGUUGGAAUUGCUAGUAAUCGCGGAUCAGCAUGCCGCGGUGAAUACGUUCCCGGGCCUUGUACACACCGCCCGUCACACC